rnacentral:rRNA from 1 species
CGGCGGGUGCUAACGUCCGUCGUGAAGAGGGAAACAACCCAGACCGCCAGCUAAGGUCCCAAAGUCAUGGUUAAGUGGGAAACGAUGUGGGAAGGCCCAGACAGCCAGGAUGUUGGCUUAGAAGCAGCCAUCAUUUAAAGAAAGCGUAAUAGCUCACUGGUCGAGUCGGCCUGCGCGGAAGAUGUAACGGGGCUAAACCAUGCACCGAAGCUGCGGCAGCGAACGUAUCACCCAAGACAACUUUACGGAGUUGACGAUUGACGGAGCGAAGCGACGUCAAUCGUCAACUCCGUAAAGUUGUCUUGGGUGAUACGUUCGCUGCCGCAGCUUCGGUGCAUGGUUUAGCCCCGUWACAUCUUCCGCGCAGGCCGACUCGACMAGUGAGCUAUUACGCUUUCUUUAAAUGAUGGCUGCUUCYMAGCYAASGUCCCAAAGUCAUGGUUAAGUGGGAAACGAUGUGGGAAGGCCCAGACAGCCAGGAUGUUGGCUUAGAAGCAGCCAUCAUUUAAAGAAAGCGUAAUAGCUCACUGGUCGAGUCGGCCUGCGCGGAAGAUGUAACGGGGCUAAACCAUGCACCGAAGCUGCGGCAGCGAACGUAUCACUUAAAGCGAUUCAGCGGGUUACGAUUGACGGAGCGAAGCGACGUCAAAGCGUAUACAAAGUCGAGUCGGUUUAAGGAUACGUUCGUUGGGUAGGGGAGCGUUCUGUAAGCCCGUGAAGGUGGCCUGUGAGGGUUGCUGGAGGUAUCAGAAGUGCGAAUGCUGACAUAAGUAACGAUAAAGCGGGUGAAAAGCCCGCUCGCCGGAAGACCAAGGGUUCCUGUCCAACGUUAAUCGGGGCAGGGUGAGUCGACCCCUAAGGCGAGGCCGAAAGGCGUAGUCGAUGGGAAACGGGUUAAUAUUCCCGUACUUGGUGUUACUGCGAAGGGGGGACGGAGAAGGCUAUGUUGGCCGGGCGACGGUUGUCCCGGUUUAAGCGUGUAGGUGUGUGUUCCAGGUAAAUCCGGUUCACUUUAACACUGAGGCGUGAUGACGAGGCACUACGGUGCUGAAGCAACAAAUGCCCUGCUUCCAGGAAAAGCCUCUAAGCAUCAGGUAACAUCAAAUCGUACCCCAAACCGACACAGGUGGUCAGGUAGAGAAUACCAAGGCGCUUGAGAGAACUCGGGUGAAGGAACUAGGCAAAAUGGUGCCGUAACUUCGGGAGAAGGCACGCUGACACGUAGGUGAAGUGAUUUACUCACGGAGCUGAAGUCAGUCGAAGAUACCAGCUGGCUGCAACUGUUUAUUAAAAACACAGCACUGUGCAAACACGAAAGUGGACGUAUACGGUGUGACGCCUGCCCGGUGCCGGAAGGUUAAUUGAUGGGGUCAGCGCAAGCGAAGCUCCUGAUCGAAGCCCCGGUAAACGGCGGCCGUAACUAUAACGGUCCUAAGGUAGCGAAAUUCCUUGUCGGGUAAGUUCCGACCUGCACGAAUGGCGUAAUGA